UGUUUCGGCUAGGGGGUCAUCCCGACUUACCAACCCGAUGCAAACUACGAAUACCGAAGAAUGUUAUCACGGGAGACACACGGCGGGUGCUAACGUCCGUCGUGAAGAGGGAAACAACCCAGACCGCCAGCUAAGGUCCCAAAGUCACAGUUAAGUGGGAAACGAUGUGGGAAGGCACAGACAGCCAGGAUGUUGGCUUAGAAGCAGCCAUCAUUUAAAGAAAGCGUAAUAGCUCACUGGUCGAGUCGGCCUGCGCGGAAGAUGUAACGGGGCUAAACUGUGCACCGAAGCUGCGGCAGCGACACUAUGUGUUGUUGGGUAGGGGAGCGUUCUGUAAGCCUGCGAAGGUGGCCUGUGAGGGUUGCUGGAGGUAUCAGAAGUGCGAAUGCUGACAUAAGUAACGAUAAUGCGGGUGAAAAGCCCGCACGCCGGAAGACCAAGGGUUCCUGUCCAACGUUAAUCGGGGCAGGGUGAGUCGACCCCUAAGGCGAGGCCGAAAGGCGUAGUCGAUGGGAAACAGGUUAAUAUUCCUGUACUUGGUGUUACUGCGAAGGGGGGACGGAGAAGGCUAUGUUAGCCGGGCGACGGUUGUCCCGGUUUAAGCAUGUAGGCGGAGGUUCCAGGUAAAUCCGGUACCUUUUUAACGCUGAGGUGUGAUGACGAGGCACUACGGUGCUGAAGUAACAAAUGCCCUGCUUCCAGGAAAAGC
rnacentral:rRNA from 1 species